rnacentral:rRNA from 1 species
GGAUCCAGACUUUGAUUCUGGCUCAGGACGAACGCUGGCGGCGUGCUUAACACAUGCAAGUCGAACGGAGAAUUUAUUUCGGUAAAUUCUUAGUGGCGAACGGGUGAGUAACGCGUAGGCAACCUGCCCUCCAGUUGGGGACAACAUUCCGAAAGGAAUGCUAAUACCGAAUGUGAUCCUUCUUCCGCAUGGAAGAAGGAUGAAAGAUGGCCUCUAUUUAUAAGCUAUCGCUGGAAGAUGGGCCUGCGUCUGAUUAGCUAGUUGGUGGGGUAACGGCUCACCAAGGCGAUGAUCAGUAGCCGGUCUGAGAGGAUGAACGGCCACAUUGGGACUGAGACACGGCCCAAACUCCUACGGGAGGCAGCAGUGGGGAAUCUUCCGCAAUGGACGAAAGUCUGACGGAGCAACGCCGCGUGAGUGAUGAAGGUCUUCGGAUUGUAAAACUCUGUUGUCAGGGACGAAUGUGCGAACGUUGAAUAAGCGUUUGUAUUGACGGUACCUGACGAGGAGGCCACGGCUAACUACGUGCCAGCAGCCGCGGUAAUACGUAGGUGGCAAGCGUUGUCCGGAAUUAUUGGGCGUAAAGAGCAUGUAGGCGGGCUUUUAAGUCCGACGUGAAAAUGCGGGGCUUAACCCCGUAUGGCGUUGGAUACUGGAAGUCUUGAGUGCGGGAGAGGAAAGGGGAAUUCCCAGUGUAGCGGUGAAAUGCGUAGAUAUUGGGAGGAACACCGGUGGCGAAGGCGCCUUUCUGGACUGUGUCUGACGCUGAGAUGCGAAAGCCAGGGUAGCAAACGGGAUUAGAUACCCCGGUAGUCCUGGCCGUAAACGAUGGGUACUAGGUGUAGGAGGUAUCGACCCCUUCUGUGCCGGAGUUAACGCAAUAAGUACCCCGCCUGGGGACUACGAUCGCAAGAUUGCAACUCAAAUGAAUUGACGG